GAUUAACGCUAGCGGCAGGCCUAAUACAUGCAAGUCGAACGGGAUUCAAAGUAGCAAUAUUUUGAUGAGAGUGGCGCACGGGUGAGUAACACGUAUGCAAUUUACCUUUAACUGGGGGAUAGCCCUCCGAAAGGAGGAUUAAUACCGCAUAAUAUAUUGAAAUGGCAUCAUUUUAAUAUUAAACCUACGGGGGUUAAAGAUGAGCAUGCAUCCGAUUAGCUAGUUGGUGUGGUAACGGCUCACCAAGGCAACGAUCGGUAGGGGGUCUGAGAGGAUGAUCCCCCACACUGGUACUGAGGCACGGACCAGACUCCUACGGGAGGCAGCAGUAAGGAAUAUUGGACAAUGGAGGCAACUCUGAUCCAGCCAUGCCGCGUGAAGGAUUAAGGCCCUAUGGGUUGUAAACUUCUUUUAGACGGGACAAAACCCCUUUACGUGUAAAGGGUUGAUGGUACUGUCAGAAUAAGCAUCGGCUAACUUCGUGCCAGCAGCCGCGGUAAAGUCUGUACU
rnacentral:rRNA from 1 species